rnacentral:rRNA from 1 species
GACGAACGCUGGCGGCAGGCUUAACACAUGCAAGUCGAACGAGCUGGGGGCUUCGGUGUCCGAUGCUAGUGGCGCGCGGGGGAGUAACACAUGGGAGUAUCCUCUUUAGUACGGUGUGACAACGGGAAGCUUCGGGUAAUACUACAUACGCCCUUCGGCGGCUAGAUUUAUGGCGAAAGGAUUAGCCCGCGUCUGGUUAGGUAGUUGGUGCGGUAAUGCCUCAUCAUGGCGACGAUCAGUAGCUGGUCUGGGAGGAGGAUCAGGCACACUGGGGCUGAGACACGGCCUAGACUCGUACGGGAGGCAGCAGAGUGGAAUAUUGUACGAUGAGGGCAAAUCUGAUCCAGCCACGCGGCGGGAGUGAAGAAGGCCGUCGGGUUGUAAAGCUCUCUGGACGGGGGCGAUGAUGACGGUACCCGGAUAAGAAGCCCCGGCAAACUUCGUG